AUUGAACGCUGGCGGCAGGCCUAACACAUGCAAGUCGAGCGAGCGGCGGACGGGUGAGUAAUGUCUGGGAAACUGCCUGAUGGAGGGGGAUACCUACUGGAAACGGUAGCUAAUACCGCAUACCAUCAGAUGUGCCCCGAUGGGAUUAGCUAGUAGGUGGGGUAACGGCUCAACAAGGCGACGACCCCUAGCUGGUCUGAGAGGAUGACCAGCAACACUGGAACUGAGACACGGUCCAUGCUCCUACGGGAGUCCGUAGUGGGGAAUAUUGCACAAUGGGGGAAAUCCUGAUGCAGCCAUGCCGCGUGUGUGAAGAAGGCCUUCGGGUUGUAAAGCACUUUCAGCGGGGAGGCGUUACCCGCAGAAGAAGCACCGGCUAACUCCGUGCCAGCAGCCGCGGUAAUAC
rnacentral:rRNA from 1 species